AGUGCGAUCGGUGGAUGCCUUGGCACCAAGAGCCGAUGAAGGACGUUGUAACCUGCGAUAAGCCCUGGGGAGUUGGUAAACGAGCUGUGAUCCGGGGGUGUCCGAAUGGGGAAACCUGGAAUGUCCGGAGUAGUGUCCGGUGACCCUGCCCUGAAUGUAUAGGGGUGUGGGAGGUAACGCGGGGAAGUGAAACAUCUUAGUACCCGUAGGAAGAGAAAACAACCGUGAUUCCGUGAGUAGUGGCGAGCGAAAGUGGAUGAGGCUAAACCGUGUGUGUGUUCAAGCCGGCAGGUGUUGCAUGUGCGGGGUUGUGGGGGCCUUUGGGUUCUGCUGCCGCAGGAUUGGCCAGUGAUAAAUGUUGCGUGAAGGUGAAGCGUCUGGGAAGGCGUACCGGAGUGGGUGAGAGUCCCGUAACUGUAAGCGUGGCACUGGUGAGGGUUACCCCAAGUAGCGUGGAACUCGUGGAAUUUCGCGUGAAUCUGGCGGGACCACCCGUCAAGCCUAAAUACUCCUUGGUGACCGAUAGUGGAUCAGUACCGUGAGGGAAUGGUGAAAAGUACCCCGGGAGGGGAGUGAAAUAGUACCUGAAACCGGUCGCAUACAAGCCGUCAGAGCCUUGUGGGGUGAUGGCGUGCCUUUUGAAGAAUGAGCCUGCGAGUUAGUGAUGCGUGGCGAGGUUAACCUGUGUGGGGGAGUCGUAGCGAAAGCGAGUCCGAUAAGGGCGUGAGUCGCGUGUUCUAGACCCGAAGCGGUGUGAUCUAUCCAUGGCCAGGAUGAAGCGUCGGUAAGACGUCGUGGAGGUCCGAACCCACUUCAGUUGAAAAUGGAGGGGAUGAGCUGUGGAUAGGGGUGAAAGGCCAAUCAAACACCGUGAUAGCUGGUUCUCCCCGAAAUGCAUUUAGGUGCAGCGUUGCGUGGUUCUUGUCGGAGGUAGAGCACUGGAUGGUCUAGGGGGCCUAUCAGCUUACCGAAAUCAGCCAAACUCCGAAUGCCGGCAAGUGGAGCGUAGCAGUGAGACGGCGGGGGAUAAGCUUCGUCGUCGAGAGGGAAACAGCCCAGAUCAUCAGCUAAGGCCCCUAAGUGGUAACUCAGUGGAAAAGGAUGUGGAGUUGCGCAGACAGCCAGGAGGUUGGCUUGGAAGCAGCCAUCCUUGAAAGAGUGCGUAAUAGCUCACUGGUCAAGUGAUUCCGCGCCGACAAUGUAGCGGGGCUUAAGUUAUCCGCCGAAGCUGUGGCAAGCCCGUGAGGGUUUGGGUAGGGGAGCGUCCUGUGCGAGGUGAAGCUGCCGGGUGACCGUGUGGUGGAUUGUGCGGGAGUGAGAAUGCAGGCAUGAGUAGCGAAUGACGGGUGGAAAACCCGUCCGCCGAUUAUCCAAGGGUUCCAGGGUCAAGUUAAUCUGCCCUGGGUGAGUCGGGACCUAAGGCGAGGCCGACAGGCGUAGUCGAUGGAUAACCAGUUGAUAUUCUGGUACCGGCUUGUCACCGUCCGUGUCGAGGUGUGUGAUGCUAAGCGUGCGAGCCUGCCUCCGCGACAUCGUUGAUGUGGUGGUGGUGUGGUGAGUGUGUGAACCGAUCAUGUAGUAGGCAAGCUGCGGAGGGACGCAGGGAGGUAGCUCAUCCCCGGCGAUGGUUGUCCGGGGCUAAAUGUGUGGACCGUCUGGUAGGUAAAUCCGCCAGGGUUGUGGUUGAGGCAUGAUGGCGAGCCCACAGGAAGUGGGUGAGUGAGUGAUCCUGUACUGUCGAGAAAAUCUUCGUGAGCGAGGUGGCUGGUCCGCCCGUACCCUAAACCGACACUGGUGGAUAGGUAGAGUAUACCGAGGCGAUCGAGAUCAUCAUGGUGAAGGAACUCGGCAAAAUGCCCCCGUAACUUCGGGAUAAGGGGGACCUGAACCGUCAAGGCUUUUACAGUUGGUAGCGGUGAGGGGCGCAGAGACCAGGGGGAAACGACUGUUUACCAAAAACACAGGUCCGUGCGAAGUCGUAAGACGAUGUAUACGGACUGACUCCUGCCCGGUGCUGGAAGGUUAAGGGGAACUGUUAGCGUUGGCGAAGCGGUGAACUUAAGCCCCAGUAAACGGCGGUGGUAACUAUAACCAUCCUAAGGUAGCGAAAUUCCUUGUCGGGUAAGUUCCGACCUGCACGAAUGGAGUAACGAUUUCCCUACUGUCUCCACCAUGAACUCGGUGAAAUUGCAUUACGAGUAAAGAUGCUCGUUACGCGCAGCAGGACGGAAAGACCCCGGGACCUUUACUAUAGUUUGGUAUUGGUGAUUGGGACGACUUGUGUAGGAUAGGUGGGAGACCGUGAAACGGCCACGCCAGUGGUUGUGGAGUCAUUGUUGAAAUACCACUCUGGUCGUUCUGGUUAUCUAACUUUGGGCCGUGAUCCGGUUCAGGGACAGUGCCUGAUGGGUAGUUUGACUGGGGCGGUCGCCUCCUAAAAGGUAACGGAGGCGCCCAAAGGUUCCC
rnacentral:rRNA from 1 species